rnacentral:misc_RNA from 1 species
AAAGUCGUAACAAGGUUUCCGUAGGUGAACCUGCGGAAGGAUCAUUGCAGGAAGUCUGAAUUUUCAGGUGGCACUUGUGCCGCCUGGGAACAUUGGGUCGUCUGGUGGUGGGUGGUGGUGGCUGUGCUGCUAUGGCAGUUGUGCUGUCAUGGUAGCUGUGCUGUUAUGGCAGUUGUGCUGCUAUGGCAGUUGUGCUGUCAUGGUAGCUGUGCUGUUAUGGCAGUUGUGCUGUCAUGGUAGCUGUGCUGGCAUCAUUUCCACUCCGGACAACACACGCGCGUGUCUGUGUGCCAGUCAUGUACGCAACGAAUACAACAACUUUUAACAAUGGAUCUCUUGGCUCUU